rnacentral:rRNA from 1 species
UUUGGUGACUUAUCGGAGAGGAAACACCUGUUCCCAUUCCGAACACAGAAGUUAAGCUCUCUUGAGGCGAUGAUACUCGCAAGGGGAAAGUAGCUAGUCGCCAAAA